CUGCUAUUUGCUUUUUGAGACAGGGUCUUAACGGAGUAGCCUUGGCUCACUAGUAGACCAGGCUGGCCUUGAACUCAGAUCUCUGCCUUAAAGUGCUAAGAUUAAAGGCAUGCCCUACAUAUCCUUAACAUCAUCUGCUGUUAUGUUUCUAAGCCUAGCCAUUCUCCAAGGAUAUAGUCACAACGCGUGCGCACACACACACACACAGAGACAGCUAAUAUACAAAUUAAAUCAAUACAGUAGAGGGAGGGAGGUGGUGGCACACUUGGGAGGUGAAUGCAGAAAGACCUGGAGUUCAAAGACACCCUGGGACCCUAAGACCCUGUCUCAGGUCCUUUUUUAAGGAGGCAGAGGAGCUGUCGUGUAGAUUACUAGAUAACUGUGCUUGCCUAGCACACGAGAGCCCUUGGUUAAUUCCCCUGCAUGGCACAAAACUGGGUGUGAUGGUGCAUGCCAGAAGCCCAGCAUUGCGGAAGGCUGGAAAAUCAAGAGUUCAAGGUCACCCUCAGCUACAAACAAAUUCAAAACCAGCCUAGAAAAAUAAAUGAAUAAUAAACAAAAUUUAAACUUCAAGCAAGAUCACAUUGUGGUUUAAAUCUGUGUGCUGGCAAAUCCUAAAACUGAGUUGCUGUGAGGUAUCCCUGCCAGAGAACACACAGACAGACUUAAAGCCAAAUGGUCUUUAGUCUCAACAGCUCAUGGCUGCACCGAGUCACGUAGCCCCAGGCCUUCCUGUUCUUAGCUUUUUAUACGCAAAACCCACAGCCUGGAUUGACACACUUCAAUCAGCAGGAACAAGUAGCUGUGAGUGGAGCCACAGAAGCCGAGAAAGCAAGG
rnacentral:lncRNA from 1 species